CUUGUUAUAAGUAAUCCGAAAGAGUAAAUAAAGAAAAAAAGAAGUAUUUGCUUUCCUUGUGGAACUUGCAUAAUAUCUACAGUUGACUCUAUCAUUUGCCUGUUGUUCAUGAAAAUGGGAAUGGAUUUGGAAAUAGUAUUAAUUUCUGGAAGUAAAUCUUAGGUUUUGUAAAGAAAUAUUGAUUUUACUUCUGGGAAUAAUCACAGAAAAAAAAAAGCAAAGCAAAGCCUCUAACAUAGUUUGGAAGUAAAAAGAUGCAUUUUAUCUGUUAGCAAAAUGGCUAGAACUCCUUGAAUAUUUUGAGACCAUCAUUUCUAGUAGACAAGCAUUAAAAUAAUUAGUUUGUGUAUUUUCUUUAUUGGUGGAUGGAGGCCAGAAUCUAUGCAGUGAUUAUCUACGUGGCCAGUAAUUUCCAAGAUGCUUUUUUUUUUUUCUCUAAGCAGCUUUUCCUAGAUAUAUUUGACACUCAAGUUAUCCUUGAUUCCGUUGUAAGUAUCUAUACUACCAAGACUCUUGUAAGUACUUUGCUAGUUGUCCAACUUCAUAUACCUCCUUAUGAAGAGUAUUUUCGUUCACUACAUUUUUGAUAUACCACAACAUUUGUGUUGUUUUCUUGUCUUUCAAAUUAUCUUUAUUUGAAAAUGAUAUUCUUCAUGAGCAUUGUAUGCUAGAAACAUGUCGUGUUCAUAUUUUGCCUCUUUUUUUUCUUCAACCUUAAUCAAAGUUCGUUUUUGGUGUAUCUGCAGUGUCCUAUUUAGUACCCUUUCUUGGC
rnacentral:lncRNA from 1 species